rnacentral:tRNA from 1 species
UGUAGCUCAGUGGUAGAGCACUUGCCUUGCAUGUGUGAGGCACUGGGUUCAAUCCUCAGCA